AGUGAACGCUGGCGGUAGGCCUAACACAUGCAAGUCGAACGGCAGCACAGGAGAGCUUGCUCUCUGGGUGGCGAGUGGCGGACGGGUGAGGAAUACAUCGGAAUCUACUCUGUCGUGGGGGAUAACGUAGGGAAACUUACGCUAAUACCGCAUACGACCUACGGGUGAAAGCAGGGGAUCUUCGGACCUUGCGCGAUUGAAUGAGCCGAUGUCGGAUUAGCUAGUUGGCGGGGGAAAGGCCCACCAAGGCGACGAUCCGUAGCUGGUCUGAGAGGAUGAUCAGCCGCACUGGAACUGAGACACGGUCCAGACUCCUACGGGAGGCAGCAGUGGGGAAUAUUGGACAACGGGCGCAAGCCUGAUCCAGCCAUACCGCGUGGGUGAAGAAGGCCUUCGGGUUGUAAAGCCCUUUUGUUGGGAAAGAAAUCCAGCUGGCUAAUACCCGGUUGGGAUGACGGUACCCAAAGAAUAAGCACCGGCUAACUUCGUGCCAGCCGCCGCCGUAA
rnacentral:rRNA from 1 species